rfam:Ictidomys tridecemlineatus contig037848, whole genome shotgun sequence.
GGGGAUAUAGCUCAGUUGGUAGAGUUCUUGCCUCACAUGCACAGGGCUCUGGGUUCAAUCCCCAGCACCACUA